UACGUAGGGGGCAAGCGUUGUCCGGAUUUAUUGGGCGUAAAGAGCGUGUAGGCGGCCAAGCAGGUCCGCUGUGAAAACUCGAGGCUCAACCUCGAGAGGUCGGUGGAAACCGUUUGGCUAGAGUCCGGAAGAGGAGAGUGGAAUUCCCGGUGUAGCGGUGAAAUGCGCAGAUAUCGGGAAGAACACCCGUGGCGAAGGCGGCGUCUCUGGGACGGUGACUGACGGCUGAGACGCGAAAGCGUGGGGAGCGAACAGG
rnacentral:rRNA from 1 species